GGGCCAACCAUAACCUCACAGCCCCUGAGUACACAGGUCCUUGCCAUGGGUUGGAAUUGGAUCAUCCUCUUCCUGGUUACAGCAGUUACAGGUAUUCAUUCCCAGGAGCAGCUACAGCAGUCUGGGGCUGAGCUGAAGAAGCCUGGUGCCUCAGUGAAGGUAUCCUGCAAGGCUUCUGGCUACACCUUCACAAGCUAUUACAUGCACUGGGUCAAGCAGAGACCUGGACAGGGGCUAGAGUGGAUUGGGCGAAUCAUCCCUAGCAAUGGCAACACAAAGUAUGCGCAGAAGUUCCAGGGCAGGGUCUCAAUGACCAGAGACACAUCGUCCAGCACAGCCUUCAUGGAGCUGAGCAGCCUGAUAGCUGAAGACUCAGCCAUUUAUUACUGUGCAAGACACAGUGCGGCAACCCACAUCCUGAGUGUGUCACAAACCCUGUAG